rnacentral:tRNA from 1 species
GUGGGUGUAGCUCAGUGGUAGAGCACACGCUUAGCAUGCAUGAGGUCCUGGGUUCAACCCCCAGUACUGCCA